rnacentral:rRNA from 2 species
CGAGUUCUCGUUGAUGAUCGGUGCUUGCACCGAGAUUCAACAUGGAACGAGUGGCGGACGGGUGAGUAACACGUGGGUAACCUGCCCUUAAGUGGGGGAUAACAUUUGGAAACAGAUGCUAAUACCGCAUAGAUCCAAGAACCGCAUGGUUCUUGGCUGAAAGAUGGCGUAAGCUAUCGCUUUUGGAUGGACCCGCGGCGUAUUAGCUAGUUGGUGAGGUAAUGGCUCACCAAGGCGAUGAUACGUAGCCGAACUGAGAGGUUGAUCGGCCACAUUGGGACUGAGACACGGCCCAAACUCCUACGGGAGGCAGCAGUAGGGAAUCUUCCACAAUGGACGCAAGUCUGAUGGAGCAACGCCGCGUGAGUGAAGAAGGCUUUCGGGUCGUAAAACUCUGUUGUUGGAGAAGAAUGGUCGGCAGAGUAACUGUUGUCGGCGUGACGGUAUCCAACCAGAAAGCCACGGCUAACUACGUGCCAGCAGCCGCGGUAAUACGUAGGUGGCAAGCGUUAUCCGGA